GCCCUAGCAAAAUUAAAAAUUUACUUAUAAAUAAAUCUUAAAGAAUAAGAUUAGUAAAAUAAAAUACAUGAAAACUCUAGAAUAUGUUAGAUAUUAAUAUGUAAAUUGUUUAUAAAAAAAAAAGGGUAUAAGUAAAUGGAAUAUUCUAGAAUUGAUUUAAUAUUAAAAUAUUAAGGAUUUUUGUAAUAAGUCAUAUAAUAUUAAUGAAUAAACUUGAAUAUUCUAGAAUUGCUAUUGCUAAGAAAUAUCUAAGAUAUUUUGUAUAAAGUAGUAAUAAAGAUGUAAAAAUCUAGAUUUUUCUAGUGUUAGUUUUUGUGUAUAUAUACAUGAAGGAGUCUUAUUUUUUUUCCUACACUCAUAUCUCUCCAAUCUCUCACUCUCUCAUUCCUUGCAUAUCACCACUCUUCACUCAUUCUCUCAUUUAAUUUCCAGCAGCUAAUUAAGUGCUAGGAGCGGCGCAUCCAAGGCUCGAGGAGGACAACCGAAGCAAGCUUGAAGAGGUUUGAAUUCAAUCACUUAAGGUGGGGUUUACUUCUAUCUGUAAGCGUAGUUGUUACAUGGUUAUAAUCAUUGUUGUGUUGUGCGUCAUUCAUAUGAACUAAUGGGACCCACAAGGGGUCGGAUCCACAAGGGAUCAAAGAGCUGAACGGCCCACAAGGGGUCAGGUCCACAAGGGACCGAGACUAGUCUCACAAGAUGUCAGCUAAGUGAAAAAUAUAAGAGUUCAACAUGUUAUGAUUCAUUACACAAUUGGUUAUAACUGCUUGCAGUGUUUACCCCACUGAGUGUGCUUGCACACUCAUACCCUAUUAUUUAUGAUUCUUUUCAGGUUAAGGAGUUGACGGCAAGACGGCAGACAUGGAGCUCCACAUUCUCCCGUUCUAUUAUAUGAUGAAGUAUUAUAUGUUGCUGUUUUUGGUAAAUAUAUCUUGCUAUUAACCAACUUAAUCUCUUCUAAUUUUGGUGGGUCGAGACUUUAUAUAUAUUGGUUUAUGAUCAUGAAUUUUGAUGACGGCUGUGACCGAUUAUAUAUAUUUUGUUUACCGUAUGUGUAGUUACGAGCUGUGCCUCGAACACGUUAAUUAUAAUAUUAAACUUGAUGGUUUUGCUUGUACUCCACCUUUUUAUAUAUAUAAAUAUGAUGCUUAGAUAAA